AAUCAACGCUGGCGGCGUGCCUAACACAUGCAAGUCGAACGCGAAAGCCCCGCAAGGGGUCAGUAGAGUGGCAAACGGGUGAGUAACACGUGGGUGACCUGCCUUCGAGUGGGGGAUAACGUCCCGAAAGGGACGCUAAUACCGCAUGACAUCCUGCUUUUGAAAAAGCGGAGAUCAAAGCUGGGGAUCGCAAGACCUAGCGCUUGAAGAGGGGCCCGCGCCUGAUUAGCUAGUUGGUGAGGUAACGGCUCACCAAGGCGACGAUCAGUAUCCGGCCUGAGAGGGCGGACGGACACACUGGGACUGAGACACGGCACAGACUCCUACGGGAGGCGGCAGGGGGGAAUUGUUCGCAAUGGGCGCAAGCCUGACGACGCAACGCCGCGUGGAGGACGAAGAUCUUCGGGUCGUAAACUCCUGUCGUGCGGGACGAACGCUUCGCGGAUGAAUAAUCCGCGGAAUUGACGGUACCGCUAAAGGAAGCCCCGGCGAACUCCGU
rnacentral:rRNA from 1 species